rnacentral:rRNA from 1 species
UACGUAGGGGGCAAGCGUUGUCCGGAAUUAUUGGGCGUAAAGCGCGCGCAGGCGGUUAUUUAAGUCUGGUGUUUAAUCCUGGGGCUCAACCCCAGUUCGCAUCGGAAACUGGAUGACUUGAGUGUAGGAGAGGAAAGUGGAAUUCCACGUGUAGCGGUGAAAUGCGUAGAGAUGUGGAGGAACACCAGUGGCGAAGGCGGCUCUCUGGGACGGUACUGACGCUGAGACGCGAAAGCGUGGGGAGCGAACAGG